UACGUAGGGGGCGAGCGUUAUCCGGAAUUACUGGGCGUAAAGCGCACGCAGGCGGUUCGCCAAGUUUGGAGUGACAGUUGUCGGCUCAACCGGCAAAGGACUUCAAAAACUGGUGAACUUGAGGACGAGAGAGGAACAUGGAACUCCAGGUGUAGUAGUGAAAUGCGUAGAUAUCUGGAAGAACACCAAUGGCGAAGGCAAUGUUCUGGCUCGUUUCUGACGCUCAGGAGCGAAAGCGUGGGGAGCGAACAGG
rnacentral:rRNA from 1 species